CUUCCUCCUACUCUUCUUUCUCCUCUUCCUCCCUCCUCUUCUUUCUCCUUCUCCUCCUCAUUCUCCUUCUCUUCUUUCUCCUCCUCCUCUUCCUUCUCUUCUUCCUCCUACUCUUCUUUCUCUUCCUUCUUCCUCCUACUCUUCCUCCUCCACCACCUUCUCCCUCCUCCUUCUCCUCCUCCUUUUCUUCUUCCUCCUGCUCUUCUUUCUCCUCCUCUCCCUCCUCCACCUCUUCUUCCUCCUCCACCUCCUUCUCCCUCAUCCUUCUCCUCCUCCUCUUCUUCCUCCUACUCUUCCCCAUUCUCCUUCUCCCUCUUCCUCCUCCUCUUCCUCCUCCUUCUCCUCCUUCUUUUCUUCUUCCUCUUACUCUUCUUUCUCUUCUUCCUUCUUCUCCCUCCUCCUUUUCUUCUUCCUCCUCUUCUUUCUCCUUCUCCUCCUCCUCCUCUUCUUCCUCCUCCUCUUCCUCCUUCACCUCCUCCUCCUCUUCUUCCUCCUCCUCUUCCUCCUUCACCUCCUUCUCCCUCCUCCUUCUCCUCCUCCUUUUCUUCUUCCUCCUGCUCUUCUUUCUCCUCCUCUCCCUCCUCCACCUCUUCUUCCUCCUCCACCUCCUUCUCCCUCAUCCUUCUCCUCCUCCUCUUCUUCCUCCUACUCUUCCCCAUUCUCCUUCUCCCUCUUCCUCCUCCUCUUCCUCCUCCUUCUCCUCCUUCUUUUCUUCUUCCUCUUACUCUUCUUUCUCCUCCUUCUUCCUCCUCCUCCUUCUCUUCUUCCUUCUCCUUCUCUCUCCUCCUUUUCUUCUUUCUCCUCUUCUUUCUCCUCCUCCUCUUCCUUCUCUUCUUCUUCCUCCUCUUCUUUCACCUUCUCCUCCUCCUCCUCCUCUUCUUCCUCCUACUCUUCCUCCUUCACCUCCUUCUUCCUCCUCCUUCUCCUCCUCCUCCCCCUCGUCCUCUUCUUCAUCCUCCUCCUCCUUUUCUUCCUCCUCCUCCCCUUCUUCCUCUUCCUCCUCCUCCUUGUCCCUCCUCUUCCUCCUCCUCCUUCUCCCUCCUCUUUAUCCUUCUCCUCCUCCUUCUCUUCUUCCUCCUUCUCUUCUUCCUCCUUCUCUUCUUCCUCCUCCUCCUUGUCCCUCCUCUUUAUUCUUCUCCUCCUCCUCUUCUUUCUUCUCCUCUUCCUUCUCUUCUUCCUCUUAUUCUUCCUCCUCCUCCUCCUUCUCCCUCCUCCUCCUUUUUUUCUUCCUCCUCCUCUUCCUCCUUCUGCUUCUUCCCCCUUCUACGUCCUCCUCUUCUUUCUCCUCCUCCCUCCUCCUCUUCUUCUUCCUCCUCUCCCUCCUCCUCCUCUUCCUUCUCAUCUUCCUCCUUCUCCCUCCUCCUUCUCCUCUUCCUUUUCUUCUUUCUCCUACUCUUUUCUCCUCCUUCCUCCUCCUCCUCCUCCUCCUCCUCCUCCUUGUUGGUGAACCAGCUGAUUCCCCACUCAUCAGCAGAGCCCGUGGUGUGGCUGCGAGGCGCUCACCCUGGGAGGAAGGGCUCAGGGCUCUGUGAUUCUUGGGGUGUCGGGGGGUGC
rnacentral:lncRNA from 1 species